UUUCGGUCAAACUGAUGCUUCGUAAGUUUCAUAUCCACUCUUGUCCAACAAGCUAUUAAAGCCUUUUUUUGCUCCUCAUUCAUGAUUGCAGAGAGCAUCGCUUGCACAUUGUGCGGUUUGGAUGAGCUGAACACCAUUACCGAGAAGUUGGCGAAGAUGUAUUUAAGAAAGUUAUGAAGACCCGGUCUCGGAAUAGGAUUACGAGAGGCUUCGUAUACGGAUUUUUCUGAUCUGACUGCAAGCGCGCGACAUAGCAAAGUUCCAUUCAAGUCUAAAAUAACUAAUUUCCUAUUGUCUGUCGCACCAUUGCAAGAAGAGGCCUGCGAAAGAUAUGUGAGAGAGGGUUCUGGUGCCAUUAAGUUUAAAGUUCGUUUUUUGUAAAAUUGUAUUCUGUGGAAAAUUGAGGGACUGAUGCGCAUCAACCCGAUCACUUUUUCGACGGGUAAAUUAAACUUGUUUGGAAAAUGGUGCUUUGGUAUAUCAAAGCCAAAAACUGAUAAAAAUUAACAAUAUAAAGCUUUGUAGACAACGAAUAUUAAACGAGUACUUGAAGCCAGCACAAUACAAAGCACUAAAAUUCUACGUUACAAGGAACUCGACAAAUAAUCGCAGGAAAUGACUAAAACCGUAAAAGAAUUAGUUUGUUUCUUCGCUUCGAAGAUUAAACUUACAAUCCUUCUAUAAUUAGCGCGUUUCGUAGUGAUCCCGACACAUCUACCUCUUAUAUGUUUUGAUAGGUGUUCAGAAAGUAAACUGGAGUUCUGAGAAGUUUAUAUUUGCGAACUGGCGGGUCAUAUCAAAUACGCGGAAAUACGGGAAUAAUUAUUAUAACUAAUGCCUAGCCACAGUGGAUCAUAAUCUGAAUGUUUCACAAUUGACACCUCAUCCGUGUGGCUGUACAAUGAAUUUUGGAACUGCUAGCUGUAAGGUGAUUGUGAGAUAAACCAUAAGACAAGGAAAUAUAAAACUAGUAGUUUUUAAACGGUUGCUAAUUAGGAAUAUUAAUACGGACACUUCAUGAUUACAAACAACCAAAAUGACAUUAGGCAGUUAACUAAAC